rnacentral:lncRNA from 1 species
UAAUAAUAAUUGUGAACUUAAAAACCGCACCUGCUGCAAAGCGCGGGUACAUAAUACAUUACUAGUAUUAUUAUCUAUAUCUUAUCUUUAUAUGAUUUUUCAAUAUCAAUAGUUGAUGCGGCAAGUCCUUCUUUAUUGGACUUUUUUAUUUUAUUUUAUUUUUUAUAACCGGGCCUCUCUCUCUCUCUUCCUUCCUUCUGCCGUACAUCCCUUCAUCUCCCCUUUAUCCCACCGUACGUCCCUUCAUCUGCAACCCACUCUCACAAGAAAACCCCCGUCCCCCGAUCUCCCUCUCUCUCUCCCCCUAGCCUACGUCAGCUCUUUCUUCUCCCCUUUUUUUUAUAGAUUUCAAAUUAUUGCUAAUAAUUUCUAAAUAUUAAUUUUUUACAAUUUUAAUUUGAUUUAAUAUAGAGAAGAAGUAGGUGAUGAUGAAUUUAAGAGCUACGAAUCGAGUUUGUUUCAGAUGAGAUUUUAUAUUUUUAUGAAUUAAAAAAAAAAUUUCUCAAAAAUUUUUUAUUUUUUCUCUCCUAAUUUUAUUUUAUUUUAUUUUAAUUACUAAGUUUUUUUAAAAAAUUU